AGUGGUGAUGACACUAGAA
rnacentral:piRNA from 1 species